AGCUGCACCAACUACCACUGCACCUACAACAGCUGCACCUACAACAGCUGCACCUGCAACAGCUGCACCUGCAACAGCUGCACCAACAACAGCUGCACCAACUACCGCUGCACCAACUACCGCUGCACCUACAACCGUUGCACCUACUACUGCUGCCCCUACUACAGCUGCACCAACUACCCCUGCACCAACAACUGUGGCUUCUCAACCUACUUACACUGUCUCAUUAGGCUUGCCUAAUGAGAUAUUUACUGAAGAUCUCAAUAACCGAGAAAGCGCUGCAUUCAAAACUCUUGAACAAAAACUUGUUGGGCCAUGCAACACAAUAUACAGGAACAAAUUUGGUCCUAAGUUUGACAAGUGCAGAGUGAAAGAGUUCAGGCAACGAUCAACUAGAGCAGAUGGAGUUGAUGCAGAUUUGAACGUUGAGUUCACUACGAAUUCCAUCACCUCAGAACUCCCAGCGGAUGCUGUUGUUGCUGAAACCUUAGUAACAGCUGUAAAUGGUACCAGUAGCCCCUUCAACGUAACGAUAAAUUCCAACACAAUCAAAGUAGUAGGUAAGUAAAUACAUCUAUCUCACAGCAUGACACAACUGACUUUUUGUUACUCCCCCAGCCAAGUUCAUUAUCUAGUUCAUACUACUGCACUCAUCUGAGCACCAAUCCGUCCUUAUCCUGUGUCUGAUGCAUCAACAUUUUUCUGUUAAACAAGUGAUAAUGGAUUUGGAAACAAAUCUACUGCACCUGCACCACGUGCUUCAGACCAAGUGUUAAGCUUGAUAAAAUGGAGUCACUCAUCAGCGACGCUCUGAUCAGUCUUAAAUACAUGUGAAAUCAGUGUUUUAGAAAAAAUCUCAACAGAAGUAGCCAUUGACUCUCUAAAUGUAGCUGAAAGUCACUAGAUUGCUUAAUGGCGUCACAUGUGAAAAAGAUACGUAUUUUUUUUAAUGAGGUUGGAUAGGGAAAAGGGGUGGGAGGGAUUUCUGUUGUUUUUAAUUACUUUAUUUGUAUCAUUGAACCAUAACUGAUCAACCCCUACUCCUAUUUCUGAGCUCUCUGUUCAUGUAGAAAUUAUUGUUUAGUAGCUAGGGAAAGUGAACAGUAAAGGAGCACUAAAAAGAUUUAUUAGGACAACUUAAAGAUUUUCAGUUCUGUACAGUUGAAAUCAACCUAUCAACAGUUCCUGUGUGUGUGUGUGUGUGUGUGUUGACAUUCAAUAGUCUUUGCUUCCUUUUAUCCAUCUAAAAUACUUGUUCUGUAAUGUCUUUGUUAUUAACUCUGAUUCUUAGAACAGAUAAAUAUUGAUUUCUUCAUUUACACUUCUAAAAAAUGUGUUAUAGAAAGUCCAGUUUCAACUACAACUGCAGCAACAUCAACUGCAGCAACAACAGCUACAACUGCAGCAACAACAGCUACAACUGUAGCAACAACAACUACAGCUGCAGCAACAACUACAAAUGCAGCAACAACAGCUACAACUGCUGCAGCAACAACCGCUGCACUAUCUACCGCCGCACCUACAACCGCUGCACCUACUACCGCUGCACCUACAACAGCUGCACCAACUACCGCUGCACCUACUACCGUUGCACCUACCACUGCUGCACCAACUACCACUGCACCUACUACCGCUGCACCAACUACCGCUGAACCUACAACAACUGCACCUACAACAGCUGCACCAACAACCGCUGCCCCUACAACAGCUGCACCUACAACAGCUGCACCUACAACAGCUGCACCAACAACCGCUGCACUAUCUACCGCCGCACCUACAACCGCUGCACCUACAACAGCUGCACCAACAACCGCUGCACCUACAACAGCUGCACCAACUACCACUGCACCUACAACAGCUGCACCUACAACAGCUGCACCUGCAACAGCUGCACCUGCAACAGCUGCACCAACAACAGCUGCACCAACUACCGCUGCACCAACUACCGCUGCACCUACAACCGUUGCACCUACUACUGCUGCCCCUACUACAGCUGCACCAACUACCCCUGCACCAACAACUGUGGCUUCUCAACCUACUUACACUGUCUCAUUAGGCUUGCCUAAUGAGAUAUUUACUGAAGAUCUCAAUAACCGAGAAAGCGCUGCAUUCAAAACUCUUGAACAAAAACUUGUUGGGCCAUGCAACACAAUAUACAGGAACAAAUUUGGUCCUAAGUUUGACAAGUGCAGAGUGAAAGAGUUCAGGCAACGAUCAACUAGAGCAGAUGGAGUUGAUGCAGAUUUGAACGUUGAGUUCACUACGAAUUCCAUCACCUCAGAACUCCCAGCGGAUGCUGUUGUUGCUGAAACCUUAGUAACAGCUGUAAAUGGUACCAGUAGCCCCUUCAACGUAAAGAUAGAUUCCAACACAAUCACAGUAGUAGAAAGUCCAGUUUCAACUACAACUGCAGCAACAUCAACUGCAGCAACAACAGCUACAACUGCAGCAACAACAGCUACAACUGCAGCAACAACAACUACAACUGCAGCAACAACAGCAGCAGCAACAACUGUAGCAGCAACAACUACAGCUGCAGCAACAACUACACAUGCAGCAACAACAGCUACAACUGCUGCAGCAACAACAGCAGCAGCAACAUCAGCAGCAGCAACAACAACUUCAGCAACAACAACUACAGCUGCUGCAACAACAACUACUGCCAUCACAAAAAAGCAAGUGGUGUUCCGGUCUCUUUUGCAAACAUUCACAACCGACUUGUUGGAUACAUCAUCUGCUGCUUUUAGAGGAAGAGCUGCUAACAUAAAGAAUCAGCUUGAACCUCUAUACAGAAACAAAUUCUCUUCCUUCUCUUCCUUCGAAGUGGUGCGAUUCAGCAAUGGAUCAAUUUACAAUACUUGUGACCUCCGCUUCACUGGCACAUCUGUUCCUACCGACACUGCGAUUGCAGACGUUUUGCUAAAUGCAGUUUCAUCAGUCACCGGCUUCGACAUUGAAGGGAGCUCCAUCACCGUGGAUGGCAUAGCUUCAAGUGGAGUCAGUCAACAGAUCAGUCUCGUCACUGCAUCCUGUCUGGUGCUUGUGUCAUGGCUGCUGUCAAGCCAGCAAUAGCAUCUGUUAAGCUUCUGUAUCUAUAUCUAUACUGUUGCAUUGCUAAAGUCAAAAUGUAUCUGACUUCACUGAGCACUGUGUCGUAGCAAUAUUCAACUUUGUUCGGUAUUAAUGUCAUCUUAUCUAAACUUUUCUAUAAUCUCCAAAUGCAUCUAAAAUGAAUGUUUAAGUUUGUAUCUUAAAUUAAAUGAAGGAACACAUGCAGGUCAUAGCGGGCUUCACAAUGCAACCUGAUUUAUUUAAUCAAAGGUCAUGGUGUAUCUGGUAUAUACAUAUAUAUGAAAACUGUUUACUUUAGAUUUUCUUAUUUAUAUAUAGUGGAUUUAUGUAAUCCCACAUUUCCUUAUAAUGUAAAAUGUCAUGUAUUUCUGCAGCUUUGAGUUCUAAAAGUUCUCAAUAACAUCAUCCUAUGUUUGCCCAGAAGCAUAGCAAAGAGACAGCCCCAUUUAAUUAUGUUGUGGUAUGUUUUUGUUUGAUUUUAUUUUGUUUUUUAAUCUUAAUAACCAUAUCAUUUGGACUUGUUAUCAAUAAUAAAAAACGAAUGGUGAAUGUCUCUGUAACCCUUACCCUAUAUGUAUAUUGAUUUAAGAAUUUAUUGAGUUAAAUAAAAGUUUUU